CCUACGGGUGGCAGCAGUAGGGAAUUUUCGUCAAUGGGCGCAAGCCUGAACGAGCAAUGCCGCGUGAACGAGGAAGGUCUUCGGAUCGUAAAGUUCUGUUGAAGGGGAAAAAGAGCGGAGAGAGGAAAUGCACUCCGAUUGAUAUUACCCUUCGAGGCAGUCACGGCUAACUACGUGCCAGCAGCCGCGGUAAUACGGGGGUGGCGAGCGUUAUCCGGAAUGAUUGGGCGUAAAGGGUGCGUAGGCGGCCUGCUAAGUCUGGAGUGAAAGGUACCGGCUCAACCGGUACAGGCUCUGGAAACUGGCGGGCUAGAGAGCAGGAGAGGGCGGUGGAACUCCAUGUGUAGCGGUAAAAUGCGUAGAUAUAUGGAAGAACACCGAUGGCGAAGGCGGCCGCCUGGCCUGUUACUGACGCUGAGGCACGAAAGCGUGGGGAGCAAAUAGGAUUAGAUACCCCAGUAGUC
rnacentral:rRNA from 1 species